GACCGUCGUGAGACAGGUUAGUUUUACCCUACUAAUGACAAAACGUUGUUGCGACAGCAUUCCUGCGUAGUACGAGAGGAACCGCAGGUACGGACCAAUGGCACAAUACUUGUUCGAGCGAACAGUGGUAUGACGCUACGUCCGUUGGAUUAUGCCUGAACGCCUCUAAGGUCGUAUCCGUGCUGGACUGCAAUGAUAAAUAAGGGGCAAUUUGCAUUGUAUGGCUUCUAAACCAUUAAAAGUUUUUAAUUUGUUUUAUUAACGACAAUGGAUGUGAUGCCAAUGUUAUUUAUAACAUAGUAAAUUGGGAGGAUCUUCGAUCACCUGAUGCCGCGCUAGUUAUAUUUUAAAACAUUAUUUAAUACAAUGUCAAAGCCUAGAAUCAAUUGUAAACGACUUUUGUAACAGGCAAGGUGUUGUAAGUGGUUGAGCAGCUGCCAUACUGCGAUCCACUGAAGCUUAUCCUUUGCUUGAUGAUUCGA
rfam:Drosophila virilis strain TSC#15010-1051.87 Ctg01_5699, whole genome shotgun sequence.